CCACACUGGGACUGAGACACGGCCCAGACUCCUACGGGAGGCAGCAGUUGGGAAUCUUGGACAAUGGGGGAAACCCUGAUCCAGCCAUGCCGCGUGAGUGAUGAAGGCCUUCGGGUUGUAAAACUCUUUCGACGGGGACGAUAAUGACGGUACCCGUAGAAGAAGCUCCGGCUAACUUCGUGCCAGCAGCCGCGGUAAUAACCUAAAUAGCGCUGU
rnacentral:rRNA from 1 species